rnacentral:tRNA from 1 species
GGAGAGAUGGCCGAGUGGUCGAAGGCGCACGACUGGAAAUCGUGUGUACCCCAAAAGGGGUACCGUGGGUUCAAAUCCCACUCUCUCCG